AAGUUAACACAUUAAGCACUCCGCCUGGGGAGUACGGUCGCAAGACUGAAACUCAAAGGAAUUGACGGGACCCGCACAAGCAGUGGAGUAUGUGGUUUAAUUCGAAGCAACGCGAAGAACCUUACCAGGUCUUGACAUCCCUCUGACCGGUACAGAGGGACCUUCCUUCGGGACAGAGGAGACAGGUGGUGCAUGGUUGUCGUCAGCUCGUGUCGUGAGAUGUUGGGUUAAGUCCCGCAACGAGCGCAACCCUUGAUCUUAGUUGCCAGCACUUCGGAUGGGCACUCUAAGGUGACUGCCGGUGACAAACCGGAGGAAGGUGGGGAUGACGUCAAAUCAUCAUGCCCCUUAUGACCUGGGCUACACACGUACUACAAUGGCCGGUACAACGGGCUGUGAAGCCGCGAGGUGGAACGAAUCCUAAAAAGCCGGUCUCAGUUCGGAU
rnacentral:rRNA from 1 species